rnacentral:rRNA from 1 species
UACGGAGGGGGCUAGCGUUGUCCGGAUUUAUUGGGCGUAAAGAGCUCGUAGGCGGUUUGGCAAGUCGGGUGUGAAAACUCCGGGCUCAACUCGGAGACGCCACUCGAUACUGCUAUGACUCGAGUCCGGUAGGGGAGUGCGGAAUUCCUGGUGUAGCGGUGAAAUGCGCAGAUAUCAGGAGGAACACCGGUGGCGAAGGCGGCACUCUGGGCCGGUACUGACGCUGAGGAGCGAAAGCGUGGGGAGCGAACAGG